rnacentral:tRNA from 1 species
GUCCCCAUAGCUCAAUGGAUAGAGCACAACUUUGCGGAAGUUGCGAUGAGGGUUCGACUCCUUCUGGGGACA